rnacentral:rRNA from 1 species
UACGUAGGGGGCAAGCGUUGUCCGGAUUUAUUGGGCGUAAAGAGCGUGUAGGCGGCCAUACAGGUCAGCUGUGAAAACUCGAGGCUCAACCUCGAGACGUCGGUUGAAACCGUAUGGCUAGAGUCCGGAAGAGGAGAGUGGAAUUCCCGGUGUAGCGGUGAAAUGCGCAGAUAUCGGGAGGAACACCAGUGGCGAAGGCGGUUGCCUGGGGCUUUGCUGACGCUGAUGCGCGAAAGCGUGGGGAGCGAUCCGG